UGGGGGAAUAUUGCACAAUGGAGGAAACUCUGAUGCAGCGAUGCCGCGUGAGGGAAGAAGGUUUUCGGAUUGUAAACCUCUGUCUUAAGGGACGAAAAUGACGGUACCUUAGGAGGAAGCUCCGGCUAACUACGUGCCAGCAGCCGCGGUAAUACGUAGGGAGCAAGCGUUAUCCGGAUUUACUGGGUGUAAAGGGAGCGUAGACGGCAAUGCAAGUCUGAAGUGAAAGGACGGGGCUUAACCCUGUGACUGCUUUGGAAACUGUGUAGCUUGAGUGCCGGAGGGGUAAGCGGAAUUCCUAGUGUAGCGGUGAAAUGCGUAGAUAUUAGGAGGAACACCAGUGGCGAAGGCGGCUUUACUGGACGUAGUAAC
rnacentral:rRNA from 1 species